CUGGGCCUGGAAAAAUACCAUUUCCAGGAAAAAAAAGAGGGUUUUCUGGUCAACUGCUCUCCUGGGAACUGGAAACGUUCAGCUGUCCUUGAGGCCUGCAGCGGGCUCACGGACUGGCCGUGCGUAGCCGUGUGAAUAACGCCGAUGCCGCUUCAGCAGCCCGGCCCGCCCGGGCCCAGGACGAGGACGGGAGGAACGAGGAGCCGGGAGGAAGCCCGCCGCGCUGGAAGCCAGAAUCGGGCGCGGCGGUGGAGGGAGCGGAAGAUGCGGAGACUGAGACACAGAGAAGUGAAGUCACCCGGCGGACAAGCGGCAGAGCCAGGAUUAGAACCCACGUCCUCUGACUCCUAAGCCCGGGCUCCGUCCGCUAAGCUCUCUUCCACCGUAUAGUCACGUCAUUAAUAAAAUAAAUAGAAUAAUAACUAUU